UCUCCUAAUGUAAUUCAGUUGAGCUCCUCCCAUUUCUGACCUGUGAGUCAUGGUAAACCCUCCAGAGAGCUCCUGCAGUGACUUGACCUCCCACAGAUGCUGCCAGUUUGAAGCAUCCACUGAGUAAUGGAAGUUCACCCUUGAGGAAUCCACAGGAAACGAUGAUUGUCAGGUUCAUCUUCACUUCACUCCUAGCCCUGGCCCUCUCAGGGUCUGAGAGAGCAGACCGGAUCGAAUCCCAGGAGACAGAAGUGUCUGCCACGGAGGGAGGGAGUGUGAAGCUCCUUUGUAAUUAUCAUACUUCUAGAGGCGCUGUUGAUCUCUACUGGUUUCGACAGUACCCAAACCGGGCACCGGAAUUUAUUCUCUACAGAGGGUGGGGGUAUACUGGAAAAGGAGACGCGGAUUUUGCCAAAGAAAAGUUUUAUUCAAACAGCACAGCAGAUACAAUCUAUUUGUACUUCAGACAACUGGAGUGUGCAGACACUGCCCUGUAUCACUGUGCCCUGAGGAAACCACGCUGAGAGCACUGCAUAGAGCAGCUGUACAAGAACACCAGCGCACAGGAGGGAGGGAGGGGAACGUGGAACACGGACUUUGGUGUUUUUGUUUUGUGAGAUUCAGCAUAAAAGGUAGGAGAUAUUGGUUCAGGAGAGUUCUGUUCUAACUAUAUAAUAGCAAUAUAAUUUCCAGGCAAAUAAAUAACUUAAGUUUUAAGAUCCCAUUUUCUAAAAUUAAAGAUGAUAACUCAAGCUCUUAGGAGGCAUGGCUUUAAAGUGCACGUGCUGGAUACUCGGCAAAUGGGAGGCAUCUUUUAUUCUCUUUCUCAAUAUCUACUUUCUUUGGUCUCCAGGGGCCUUUCUGGGGGCAUCUGAGGAUCUUUUACACCACACUGGAAAAAAUAAUAGCAAUCAUUAAAAACAUAAAAAUACACAUCCGGGACUCAGAAAAGGCCUCUUUGACCUGGGAUCUCUGGUCAUCACGCCAGAGGUUGAAAGGUGUGCUCAGCAAGGCCAGCCACUAGAGGACAAAUUGCCUUGAAGCCCUCCCUCAUUUCUGAGCUCCCAGCUACAGGCACUUGGGCAUUUCUCAUGAUGUGGACAAGAACAGAGGCUCAUUUCUCACAAGUCUGAAGGGAAGAGGAGAAGCACAAAGUUCUGCAUCAGGUGGUGGGUGAGGAAAGAAAAAUUGCCUCCGUGACUAUUACCUGCUCCUGGGCAGCUCUUCCCUUCCAGGUGGGGAUGAGAGGCCGAGUGAGGUGGAAUGUGGGGCUGACUGUGAGGCCACAGGAUACCUGCCACCCAUUCAAUGACUCAAGCUAUGCUUCUAACGGGCGGCUAGCAUCCAGCCAGAUCUGUGCCAAGCCUAGCUUCUUUGUUUGCACUGAUGUUGAGUGGGAUGGAAGAGAGGAAGGGAAAUUUAGAGCCUCGUUCAGCACACAGUCUGCUGCAGCACCAGCACCCUAUGGCUUCCAGGCUGGAAACCUCGGGCUUCUGAGGCUCCCGGGGAAGCCUGGCCCAGCCCCACUGCCUGAGGAAUGAUUGCACCAGCCAGUAAGAGGGGCUUGGAAACAAGACAGCAAGUCAGGUUGUUAAACAAUGUUUUCUUCUACAAAAGGAAACUUGAGUCCAAAUAAACACUGACAAAUACUGUGGCUAGAAAAUAAAUUUCAAAGUUCUGUUUCAAGUUAACUUAAAAGAAAUGAGUUGUGGGGAAACUGGUGUUCAGGAGGCAUAAAAUGAUUUAAGGAGAGUGAUAUGUAACUUUUCUUAGCUUCUGUUUGUGGGAAAUUGUUAUUUUUAUAUCGCAAUAUAAUGUAGUGGUAUAACCCUCUGCAUAGCGACCUACCACCCUUUACAUAGUGACCUACUUGCAAAGGGAUUUUAAAAUUCAUUGCCUAGUCCAUAUCUUUGAUUUGUUUCUCAGAAUUUACAUUGAGUACUGAUUUUAAAGAGAAAAACAACUUUUGGGCAAGAUAAAUCACUACUAAAAUGUUUUCAGCCUUUUACAGGAAUCUGAAUGCUGUACAACCAUUUCAGGCGCUAGCCAGUAAAAGUAACAAUGUGGAAAUGCUCUUCACGGAGAGUUAAGUAAAAUAUAGAGCACAUCUUGGUAA